ACUAUAUCCAUCUACACCUGUGAACCGUUUGAUUGAAUCUCUGAUUCAAUUUUACAAACAUUGUGUAAUGAACGUCAUUAGAUCAUAACUAAAAAAAACUUUUAACAACGGAUCUCUUGGCUCUCGCAUCGAUGAAGAACGCAGCGAAAUGCGAUAAGUAAUGUGAAUUGCAGAAUUCAGUGAAUCAUCGAAUCUUUGAACGCAACUUGCGCUCUCUGGUAUUCCGGAGAGCAUGCCUGUUUGAGUGUCAUGAAAUCUCAACCAUUAGGGUUUCUUAAUGGCUUGGAUUUGGAGGUUGCCAUUCUGAAUGGCUCCUCUCAAAAGAGUUAGCGAGUUUAACUAUUGCUAUCUGGCGUAAUAAGUUUCGCUGGAAUGGUAUUGUGAAGCGCGCUUCUAAUCGUCUUCGGACAAUUACUUUGACUCUGGCCUCAAAUCAGGUAGGACUACCCGCUGAACUUAAGCAUAUCAAUAAGCGGAGGAAAGGAUCAUUAGUGAUUGCCAUCUUGGCUUACCUUUAUCCAUCUACACCUGUAAACCGUUUGAUUGAAUCUCUGAUUCAUUUUACAAACAUUGUGUAAUGAACGUCUUAGACAUAACUAAAAAAACUUUUAACAACGAUCUCUUGGCUUUUCAUCAUGAAAAGCACGAAAUGAAAAGUAAUGUCAUUCUAAAUUAC
rnacentral:rRNA from 1 species